UGGGGAAUAUUGCACAAUGGGCGAAAGCCUGAUGCAGCAACGCCGCGUGAGUGAUGAAGGUCUUCGGAUUGUAAAGCUCUGUCUUUUGGGACGAUAAUGACGGUACCAAAGGAGGAAGCCACGGCUAACUACGUGCCAGCAGCCGCGGUAAUACGUAGGUGGCGAGCGUUGUCCGGAUUUACUGGGCGUAAAGGGUGCGUAGGCGGAUGUUUAAGUGAGAUGUGAAAUACCCGGGCUUAACUUGGGUGCUGCAUUUCAAACUGGAUAUCUAGAGUGCAGGAGAGGAGAAUGGAAUUCCUAGUGUAGCGGUGAAAUGCGUAGAGAUUAGGAAGAACACCAGUGGCGAAGGCGAUUCUCUGGACUGUAACUGACGCUGAGGCACGAAAGCGUGGGUAGCAAACAGGAUUAGAUACCCUGGUAGUCCACGCCGUAAACGAUGAGUACUAGGUGUAGGAGGUAUCGACCCCUUCUGUGCCGCAGUAAAACACAUUAAGUACUCCGCCUGGGAAGUACGAUCGCAAG
rnacentral:rRNA from 1 species